rnacentral:rRNA from 1 species
GAUGAACGCUGGCGGCGUGCUUAACACAUGCAAGUCGAACGGUGAACGAGGGAGCUUGCUCCCUCCGGAUCAGUGGCGAACGGGUGAGUAACACGUGAGCAAUCUGCCCUGGACUCUGGGAUAAGCGUUGGAAACGACGUCUAAUACCGGAUACGAGGCGUGGGGGCAUCCCCAACGCCUGGAAAGAACUUCGGUCCAGGAUAAGCUAGGGGCCUAUCAGCUUGUUGGUGAGGUAACGGCUCACCAAGGCGACGACGGGUAGCCGGCCUGAGAGGGUGACCGGCCACACUGGGACUGAGACACGGCCCAGACUCCUACGGGAGGCAGCAGUGGGGAAUAUUGCACAAUGGGCGCAAGCCUGAUGCAGCAACGCCGCGUGUGGGAUGAAGGCCUUUGGGUUGUAAACCACUGUCAGGGGGGAUGAAACCGCAAGGUUGACAGAGCCCCAGAGGAAGCACGGGCUAACUUCGUGCCAGCAGCCGCCGUAACAC